rnacentral:rRNA from 1 species
AGAGUUUGAUCAUGGCUCAGAACAAACGCUGGCGGCGUGUCUUAAGCAUGCAAGUCGAGCGGCAAGGGCAGCAAUGCCCCUAGAGCGGCGGACUGGUGAGUAACGCGUGGGUGAUCUACCUUGGGCAUGGGGAUAGCCAUUAGAAAUAGUGGGUAAUACCGAAUACGUUCGUUACCGUGAGGGUAACGAGGAAAGGCGCUACGGCGCCGGCCUGGAGAUGAGCUUGCGUCCGAUUAGCUAGUUGGUGAGGUAAUGGCCCACCAAGGCGAUGAUCGGUAGCCGGCCUGAGAGGGUGUACGGCCACACUGGGACUGAGAUACGGCCCAGACUCCUACGGGAGGCAGCAGCUAAGAAUAUUCCGCAAUGGACGAAAGUCUGACGGAGCGACGCCGCGUGGAUGAUGAAGGCCGAAAGGUUGUAAAGUCCUUUUGCUGGGGAAGAAUAACCAUGGGAGGGAAUGCCCGUGGGA